ensembl:lncRNA
AGAGCGCCCCCGUGGGAAGCAAGAGUUAAGCCUGCCACCGACCCGGCUUUACCCUCAAACCCAGGAAAGCGGUGUCACUCAGGGCUAGGGACUGCCCCCGAACGAGCUGGGCUGGAGGUGCUCGGAGGAAAGUCAGAUCUUAUCUGCGCUCCUAGUUAUCUUCGCUGCUCUUUCUCCAGGAAAAUAAUCCUGGCACCAUCACUCAGGAGCCAUCUGUCUUCGCCCCAGUUCCCCGGGGUCAAGCGGCCAGCCCGGGGUCAGGGUCGUGCUGGGAGCGGGAGGACAGGGCCGAGGGAAUCCCGGGAACCCGCCGGAGCGCGUCGCAGCGGGGCGUCCCGGGGCUUUCCCGGCCUCCGGUGCGCGGCAGCCGCGGGCGCUGCGUCCCUCCAGCCCAGUGCAGCCGGGUGGGAGCUACCGAGCGAAGCAGGUGGGUGUGGAGGAGCCGGGUCUGGGGCAGCAGGAGCCGCGGGCAGGCGGGAGCCGAGGGAGGUGCCCGCAGAGGUGUGGGCGGCGCCCGCCCGCCAGAGCCCCGGCCGCGCCCUGGACACCCGGGCGCUGUCCCUAGCUGAGCGCACAGCUCCGGCGCCGCGAGGCCGAGCCCCGGCGUCCCCGGAGGUGCCCUGCGGGCUCGCACAGCUCCGCCACCCCACUCCGCCGCCCACCUCGAGAGCCGCAAGCGCCGAGGAGGAGGAGGGGGAGGAGGCGGAGGAGGAGGAGGAAGAGAAGGCGGCGGCGGCUCCAGCCGGCGGGUGCGCGGAGCGCGGGAGGAGGCGGAGCGGGAGGCUGUGGUGGCCGCAGCCGUGUGUGCGCGCCGGGCUGGCGAGCUGCGGGGCGGGGGAGCGGCGCCCCAGAGCGCCCCGCCUCGCCUCCCGCGCGCAGCCUCUGCCCUGCUCCGCCACAGACACACACCCACCAAGCACCCACCGCCCUCCGCCCUCCGCCCUCCGCCCCCGCGGCCGCCGCCGAGCCUCGGGCAGCCCCAGAAAGCGGCAACUCCCGGGCUGGCGCGACUCGCUUUCCGGCUCCUUCCUCGCGGCGAGCUCAGCCCCGCUCGAUUUUUCCUCUUCGGUUCGAGCCCUCUCUCGUCUGGGUGGCGGUGGCGGCGGCGGGGGAUGGGGACCCCGCGUGGGGAAGAGGGUGAAGAUCGACGAAGAUUAUUGUUCUUUUAAAGGAUGCCUUAGCUUCCUCCCGCCGCCUCUCCUCUGA